rnacentral:rRNA from 1 species
GGACCCGCACAAGUAGUGGAGCAUGUGGUUUAAUUCGAAGAUACGCGCAGAACCUUACCAACACUUGACAUGUUCGUCGCGACUUUAAGAGAUUAAAGUUUUCGGUUCGGCCGGACGAAACACAGGUGCUGCAUGGCUGUCGUCAGCUCGUGUCGUGAGAUGUUGGGUUAAGUCCCGCAACGAGCGCAACCCUCACUUUUAGUUGCCAUCAUUAAGUUGGGCACUCUGAAAGAACUGCCAGUGAUAAGCUGGAGGAAGGUGGGGAUGACGUCAAGUCCUCAUGGCCCUUACGUGUUGGGCUACACACGUGCUACAAUGGCAUUUACAAUAGGAAGCAAGAUGGCGACGUCAAGCAAAUCCUAAAAAGAUGCCUCAGUUCGGAUUGUACUCUGCAACUCGAGUACAUGAAGCUGGAAUUACUAGUAAUCGC